CAGGCCUAACACAUGCAAGUCGAACGGUGAUGGCCAGCUUGCUGGUCUGAUCAGUGGCGAACGGGUGAGUAACACGUGAGUAACCUGCCCCUGACUCUGGGAUAACUACCGGAAACGGUGGCUAAUACCGGAUAUGAGGUGCCUGGGCAUCUGGGCGCCUGGAAAGUUUUUCGGUCAGGGAUGGGCUCGCGGCCUAUCAGCUUGUUGGUGGGGUGAUGGCCUACCAAGGCGACGACGGGUAGCCGGCCUGAGAGGGCGACCGGCCACACUGGGACUGAGACACGGCCCAGACUCUACGGGAGGCAGCAGUGGGGAAUAUUGCACAAUGGGCGCAAGCCUGAUGCAGCGACGCCGCGUGCGGGAUGACGGCUUCGGGUUGUAAACCGCUUUCAGCAGGGAAGAAGCGCGAGUGACGGUACCUGCAGAAGAAGCGCCGGCUAACUACGUGCCAGCAGCCGCGGUAAUAAGGGCGAA
rnacentral:rRNA from 1 species